rnacentral:rRNA from 1 species
AGCUCCAAUAGCGUAUAUUAAAGUUGUUGCAGUUAAAAAGCUCGUAGUUGGAUUUCUGUGCUGGGCGACCGGUCCGCCGCUGUGCGGUGUGUACUGCGUUUGUCCCGGUGCUUCCUUGCAGGGAAAAGUUUGGGCCUUAAUUGGUCUUCAGGCUGGGAACUGCAUCGUUUACUGUGAAAAAUUAGAGUGUUUAAAGCAGGCUUAUGCUGUGAAUACAUUAGCAUGGAAUAAUAAGAUAGGACUCUGGUUCUAUUUUGUUGGUUGGAGGCCAGGGUAAUGAUUAAUAGGGACAGUUGGGGGUAUUCAUAUUUAAUUGUCAGAGGUGAAAUUCUUGGAUUUAUGAAAGAUGAACUUAUGCGAAAGCAUUUACCAAGGAUGUUUUCA